rnacentral:rRNA from 1 species
AUUGAACGCUGGCGGCAGGCCUAACACAUGCAAGUCGAACGAGUGGCGGACGGGUGAGUAAUGUCUGGGAAACUGCCUGAUGGAGGGGGAUAACUACUGGAAACGGUAGCUAAUACCGCAUACCAUCAAAUGUUCCCAGAUGGGCUUGGCUUGUUGGUGGGGUAACGGCUCACAAAGGCGACGAUCCCUAGCUGGUCUGAGAGGAUGACCAGAAACACUGGAAGUGAGACAGGGUCCAGACUCCUACGGGAGGCAGCAGGGGGGAAUAUUGCACAAGGGGCGCAAGCCUGAUGCAGCCAUGCCGCGUGUAUGAAGAAGGCCGUCGGGUUGGAAAGUACGUUCAGCGGGGAGGCGUUACCCGCAGAAGAAGCACCGGCUAACUCCGUGCCAGCAGCCGCGGUAAUUC